rnacentral:sRNA from 2 species
CAUAUCUCCAAAGGGGAGUAGCGUCCAAGAACUAUUUCUUGGAAACAAAGUCGUCAUUACGUAGAACUUAGUUCUUCCGGCUUUGUUGGCAUUUUCAUUACAUAUGUCUAGCAAGACCUUUGCCUAUCAACGGCAGAGGUCUUUUUUGUUUUCAAAUUCCUUCCACCGUUGAU